rnacentral:rRNA from 1 species
GAUGAACGCUGGCGGCGUGCUUAACACAUGCAAGUCGAACGGGAUCCCAGGAGCUUGCUCCUGGGUGAGAGUGGCGAACGGGUGAGUAAUGCGUGACCGACCUGCCCCAUACACCGGAAUAGCUCCUGGAAACGGGUGGUAAUGCCGGAUGCUCCAGUUGACCGCAUGGUCCUCUGGGAAAGCUUUUGCGGUAUGGGAUGGGGUCGCGUCCUAUCAGGUAGUCGGCGGGGUAACGGCCCACCGAGCCUACGACGGGUAGCCGGCCUGAGAGGGCGACCGGCCACAUUGGGACUGAGAUACGGCCCAGACUCCUACGGGAGGCAGCAGUGGGGAAUAUUGCACAAUGGGCGCAAGCCUGAUGCAGCGACGCCGCGUGCGGGAUGACGGCCUUCGGGUUGUAAACCGCUUUUGACUGGGAGCAAGCCCUUCGGGGUGAG